rnacentral:rRNA from 1 species
GACGAACGCUGGCGGCGUGCUUAACACAUGCAAGUCGAACGGAAAGGCCCUGCUUUUGUUGGGUGCUCGAGUGGCGAACGGGUGAGUAACACGUGAGUAACCUGCCCUUGACUUUGGGAUAACUUCAGGAAACUGGGGCUAAUACCGGAUAGGAGCUCCUGCUGCAUGGGGGGGGUUGGAAAGUUUCGGCGGUUGGGGAUGGACUCGCGGCUUAUCAGCUUGUUGGUGGGGUAGUGGCUUACCAAGGCUUUGACGGGUAGCCGGCCUGAGAGGGUGACCGGCCACAUUGGGACUGCGAGACGGACCAGACUCCUACGGGAGGCAGCAGUGGGGAACAUUGCACAAUGGGCGGAAGCCUGAUGCAGAAACGCCGGGUGCGGGAUGACGGCCUUCGGGUUGUAAACCGCUUUCGACUGUGACGAAGCGUGAGUGACGGUAAUGGGUAAAGAAGCACCGGCUAACUACGUG